rnacentral:rRNA from 1 species
GGAGGAUCCGAGCGAUAUCCGGAUUUAUUGGGUUUAAAGGGAGCGUAGGUGGACAGUUAAGUCAGUUGUGAAAGUUUGCGGCUCAACCGUAAAAUUGCAGUUGAUACUGGCUGUCUUGAGUACAGUAGAGGUGGGCGGAAUUCGUGGUGUAGCGGUGAAAUGCUUAGAUAUCACGAAGAACUCCGAUUGCGAAGGCAGCUCACUGGACUGCAACUGACACUGAUGCUCGAAAGUGUGGGUAUCAAACAGGAUUAGAUACCCUGGUAGUCCACACAGUAAACGAUGAAUACUCGCUGUUUGCGAUAUACAGUAAGCGGCCAAGCGAAAGCAUUAAGUAUUCCACCUGGGGAGUACGCCGGCAACGGUG